AACCCAUAUGGCACACAAUGACCUAUGCUUGAUAAACGUUGUUGUCCUUGGUAACAACGUAUCAUUUGGUCAUGAACAAGUUUAAGAACUAAUAACAAAUCCUCCUUUGUCGAGUCCUAAGGACUUCACCACAACACAGGAGUUCAUUAGAAGAUAAAAUAAUUUGUGAUGAAAAAUGGCAAAAUAACUUUUAUUAAUUUAUAAUUCAUAUACCAA
rnacentral:lncRNA from 1 species